rnacentral:rRNA from 1 species
CAAAAACUUCGUAGUGAGUGUUAGAGCCGCCCGUACCCCAAACCGACACAGGUGAUCAGGUAGAGAAUACCAAGGCGAUCGAGUGAACCAUGGUUAAGGAACUCGGCAAAAUGCCCCCGUAACUUCGGGAGAAGGGGGGCCGGAUGCGUUACAUGGCUUGCCCAUGGAAGCGUUGAUGGCCGCAGAGACCAGGCCCAAGCGACUGUUUACUAAAAACACAGGUCCGUGCGAAGAAGUAAUUCGAUGUAUACGGACUGACGCCUGCCCGGUGCUGGAACGUUAAGGGGACAGGUUAGCUGGUUUAGGCCGGCGAAGCUUUGAACUUAAGCGCCAGUAAACGGCGGUGGUAACUAUAACCAUCCUAAGGUAGCGAAAUUCCUUGUCGGGUAAGUUCCGACCUGCACGAAUGGCGUAACGACUUGGGCGCUGUCUCAACCAUGGACUCGGCGAAAUUGCAUUACGAGUAAAGAUGCUCGUUACGCGCAGCAGGACGGAAAGACCCCGGGACCUUUACUACAACUUGGUAUUGGUGGUCGGUACAACUUGUGUAGGAUAGGUGGGAGACUGUGAAAUCCGGACGCCAGUUCGGGUGGAGUCAUCGUUGAAAUACCACUCUGGUUGUUCUGGCUGUCUAACUUCGGUCCAUUAUCUGGAUCAGGGACAGUGCCUGGUGGGUAGUUUGACUGGGGCGGUCGCCUCCUAAAAGGUAACGGAGGCGCUCAAAGGUUCCCUCAGCCUGGUUGGCAAUCAGGUGUCGAGUGUAAGUGCACAAGGGAGCUUGACUGUGAGACAGACAUGUCGAGCAGGGACGAAAGUCGGAACUAGUGAUCCGGCGGUGGCAUGUGGGAGCACCGUCGCUCAACGGAUAAAAGGUACCCCGGGGAUAACAGGCUGAUCUUCCCCAAGAGUCCAUAUCGACGGGAUGGUUUGGCACCUCGAUGUCGGCUCGUCGCAUCCUGGGGCUGGAGUAGGUCCCAAGGGUUGGGCUGUUCGCCCAUUAAAGCGGCACGCGAGCUGGGUUUAGAACGUCGUGAGACAGUUCGGUCCCUAUCCGCUGCGCGCGCAGGAGACUUGAGAAGGGCUGCCCCUAGUACGAGAGGACCGGGGUGGACGAACCUCUGGUGUGCCAGUUGUUCCGCCAGGAGCACGGCUGGUUGGCUACGUUCGGGAGUGAUAACCGCUGAAAGCAUCUAAGCGGGAAGCACGCUUCAAGAUGAGGUCUCCCACCGAGUUAAUCGGGUAAGGCCCCCAGUAGACCACUGGUUGAUAGGCCAGAGGUGGAAGCGCCGUAAGGUGUGGAGCUGACUGGUACUAAUAGGCCGAGGGCUUGC